rnacentral:misc_RNA from 1 species
UCCACCCUCAAGCCCCUACGGGCGUGGUGUUGGGGCUUCUACGGCGGGGUUCGCCCCCCGUAGGCCCUUAAAGUCAGUGGCGGGCUCGCUAGCACUCCGGGCGUAGUAGCUUUUUACACGUCGCCUAGGGGGUCUGGCGGGCGACCGGCCGUAAAACAGCGACUGCUGUCGCACACUUUCUCAA